UUCGAUUCCUACGGGAGGCAGCAGUGGGGAAUUUUCCGCAAUGGGCGAAAGCCUGACGGAGCAAUACCGCGUGAGGGAGGAAGGCUCUUGGGUCGUAAACCUCUUUUCUGUGGGAAGAAUAAAUGACGGUACCACAGGAAUCAGCAUCGGCUAACUCCGUGCCAGCAGCCGCGGUAAUACGGAGGAUGCAAGCGUUAUCCGGAAUCAUUGGGCGUAAAGCGUCCGUAGGUGGCUAUUCAAGUCUGCCGUCAAAGACUGGGGCUUAACCCCGGAAAGGCGGUGGAAACUGAAUAACUAGAGUGCGGUAGGGGUAGAGGGAAUUCCCAGUGUAGCGGUGAAAUGCGUAGAGAUUGGGAAGAACACCGGUGGCGAAAGCGCUCUACUGGGCCUGCACUGACACUGAGGGACGAAAGCUAGGGGAGCGAAAGGGAUUAGAUACCCCUGUAGUCCUAGCCGUAAACGAUGGAUACUAGGUGUUGGCAGUAUCGACCCUGCCAGUACCGGAGCUAACGCGUUAAGUAUCCCGCCUGGGGAGUACGCACGCAAGUGUGAAACUCAAAGGAAUUGACGG
rnacentral:rRNA from 1 species